rnacentral:rRNA from 1 species
UACGUAGGGGGCUAGCGUUGUCCGGAAUCAUUGGGCGUAAAGAGCGUGUAGGCGGCUCGGUAAGUCCGCUGUGAAAGUCCAGGGCUCAACCCUGGAAUGCCAGUGGAAACUGUCGAGCUAGAGUCCGGAAGAGGCGAGUGGAAUUCCUGGUGUAGCGGUGAAAUGCGCAGAUAUCGUUUGGAACGCCAAUGGUGAAAACAGCUUGCUGGGAGUGUGCUGACGCUGAGACACGAAAGCCAGGGGGAGCAAACGGGAUU